rnacentral:pre_miRNA from 1 species
UAGGUACUCCCUUCGUCCAGAAAUAUUUGUUCUCAAAAUGGAUAAAUUGGAUGUAUCUAUAACUAAAAUAAUUCUAGAUACAUCCAUUUCUAGGACAAGUAUUUCUAGACGGAGGGAGUAUUAA